AUUGAACGCUGGCGGCAUGCUUUACACAUGCAAGUCGAACGGCAGCGCGGGCUUCGGCCUGGCGGCGAGUGGCGAACGGGUGAGUAAUGCAUCGGAACGUGCCCAGUAGUGGGGGAUAGCCCGGCGAAAGCCGGAUUAAUACCGCAUACGACCUGAGGGUGAAAGCGGGGGACCGAAAGGCCUCGCGCUAUUGGAGCGGCCGAUGUCGGAUUAGCUAGUUGGUGGGGUAAAGGCUUACCAAGGCGACGAUCCGUAGCUGGUCUGAGAGGACGACCAGCCACACUGGGACUGAGACACGGCCCAGACUCCUACGGGAGGCAGCAGUGGGGAAUGUUGGACAAUGGGGGCAACCCUGAUCCAGCCAGGCCGCGUGCGGGAAGAAGGCCUUCGGGUUGUAAACCGCUUUUGUUCGGGAAGAAAUCCUCUGGGCUAAUACCCCGGGGGGAUGACGGUACCGGAAGAAUAAGCACCGGCUAACUACGUG
rnacentral:rRNA from 1 species